GGUGCGUAGGAGGGCAGGUAAGUCAGUGGUGAAAUCCCCGAGCUUAACUUGGGAACUGCCGUUGAUACUAUCUGUCUUGAAUAUUGUGGAGGUAAGCGGAAUAUGUCAUGUAGCGGUGAAAUGCUUAGAUAUGACAUAGAACACCAACUGCGAAGGCAGCUUGCUACACAACUAUUGACUCUGAUGCACGAAAGCGUGGGGAUCAAACAGGAUUAGAUACCCUGGUAGUCCACGCCCUAAACGAUGGAUACUCGACAUCAGCGAUACACUGUUGGUGUCUGAGCGAAAGCAUUAAGUAUCCCACCUGGGAAGUACGACCGCAAGGUUGAAACUCAAAGGAAUUGG
rnacentral:rRNA from 1 species